rnacentral:misc_RNA from 1 species
UUAAGUUCAGCGGGUAUCCCUACCUGAUCCGAGGUCAAACUUUGAGGUAAGAGUCACCCGGCAAGCUCCGCCAGAGCUCCAGAAGCGAAAUUUCCACUACGCUCGGAGCUGGACGGUGCCGCCAACCAGUUGCGGGAGGUCCUAGGACCGCACCCAAGACAAGCAGUGCUUGAUUGUUUAAAUGACGCUCGAACAGGCAU